rnacentral:rRNA from 1 species
GGAUCCCUUCGGGGUGAAGCUCGUGGAACGAGCGGCGGACGGGUGAGUAACACGUGGGCAACCUGCCUGUAAGAUCGGAAUAACCCCGGGAAACCGGGGCUAAUGCCGGGUAAUACUUUUCUUCGCAUGAAGAUGAGUUGAAAGAUGGCUUCUCGCUAUCACUUACAGAUGGGCCCGCGGCGCAUUAGCUAGUUGGUGAGGUAACGGCUCACCAAGGCAACGAUGCGUAGCCGACCUGAGAGGGUGAUCGGCCACACUGGGACUGAGACACGGCCCAGACUCCUACGGGAGGCAGCAGUAGGGAAUCUUCCGCAAUGGACGAAAGUCUGACGGAGCAACGCCGCGUGAACGAUGAAGGUCUUCGGAUCGUAAAGUUCUGUUGUCAGGGAAGAACAAGUACCGUGCGAAUAGAGCGGUACCUUGACGGUACCUGACGAGGAAGCCCCGGCUAACUACGUGCCAGCAGCCGCGGUAAUACGUAGGGGGCAAGCGUUGUCCGGAAUUAUUGGGCGUAAAGCGCGCGCAGGCGGUUCCUUAAGUCUGAUGUGAAAGCCCACGGCUCAACCGUGGAGGGUCAUUGGAAACUGGGGAACUUGAGGACAGAAGAGGAGAGUGGAAUUCCACGUGUAGCGGUGAAAUGCGUAGAUAUGUGGAGGAACACCAGUGGCGAAGGCGACUCUCUGGUCUGUUUCUGACGCUGAGGUGCGAAAGCGUGGGUAGCAAACAGGAUUAGAUACCCUGGUAGUCCACGCCGUAAACGAUGAGUGCUAGGUGUUAGGGGGCUUCCACCCCUUAGUGCUGAAGU